AACGGUCUAUACCUGCGGUACCUGCGGAAGGAUCAUUACUGAGUAACGCGGUCUCCGGACCCGCUACCCGCCCUAUGUCAUAUGCUGGACGAGGUCGCUUUCAGGGCGGCCUCGGACGCUACUUCCCGGGAGGCGUUGCGCCCCUCCAGGCCCUGUGCUUGGGGGGUGGGACCGCCCGGGGUCCUUUUUCAAACCCUUGUGAGAAUCUGAAGUCUGAAGCGAGAAACAAAUUGAAGCAAA
rnacentral:misc_RNA from 1 species